rnacentral:rRNA from 1 species
AUUGAACGCUGGCGGCAGGCCUAACACAUGCAAGUCGAACGGUAACAGGAAGCAGCUUGCUGCUUUGCUGACGAGUGGCGGACGGGUGAGUAAUGUCUGGGAAACUGCCCGCUGGAGGGGGAUAACUACUGGAAACGGUAGCUAAUACCGCAUAACGUCGCAAGCCCAAAGAGGGGGACCUUAGGGCCUCUUGCCAUCGGAUGUGCCCAGAUGGGAUUAGCUAGUAGGUGGGGUAACGGCUCACCUGGGCGACGAUCCCUAGCUGGUCUGAGAGGAUGACCAGCCACACUGGAACUGAGACACGGUCCAGACUCCUACGGGAGGCAGCAGUGGGGAAUAUUGCACAAUGGGCGCAAGCCUGAUGCAGCCAUGCCGCGUGUAUGAAGAAGGCCUUCGGGUUGUAAAGUACUUUCAGCGGGGAGGAAGGGAGUAAAGUUAAUACCUUUGCUCAUUGACGUUACCCGCAGAAGAAGCACCGGCUAACUCCGUG